CACGUAGGGACCAAGCGUUGUCCGGAUUUAUUGGGCGUAAAGAGCUCGUAGGCGGCUUGGUAAGUCGGAUGUGAAAUCUCCAGGCUCAACCUGGAGGGGUCAUUCGAUACUGCCAUGACUCGAGUCCGGUAGGGGAGUGCGGAAUUCCUGGUGGAGCGGUGAAAUGCGCAGAUAUCAGGAGGAACACCCAUAGCGAAGGCAGCACUCUGGGCCGGUACUGACGCUGAGGAGCGAAAGCGUGGGGAGCAAACAGG
rnacentral:rRNA from 1 species